GAACCCGAGGAGAAGCUGGGAAAUAAGAGGAACCAGAAAGGAAGAAUGCCAAAGAGAAUGGACAGAGAAAAAACACGUGCUUCGAAAGAAAAUAUUUCCAGUAUUAACUCAAAUAUUCCAUUCCUUAAAUAAUAAUUCGAAAGAGUUUCGUAUAUCCUGGAAUAAUAUGUUCUAUCUUCACAGUAUUCUUAUUUUCUGAUUUUUCAAAUAAUACGAAAACAUAGUUUACUGUGUUAAAGUUGCAUUUUUCUUAAUAAAUCAAAGACGUUACAAAUAUUUCUCCAGGGAGGUUUAAAAUGAUGUUGUCUCUUUAACAUGAGAAUGAACACAAAUCUUCAAAAUUCCUAUGUGCUGUCUUUUGGAGGAAGCUGGAUCAUACUCUUCUUUCAUGUUUUCCAAAUUUGAAAUGACCUUUAGGCUCCAGAUGAUGUAACAUAGGUCUAGAAAGAUGUUAAAAUCAACAGGUUUGAGAAGGGAAGGAUUCUGUUUUUCCUUUUUGUAUAUACUGCUGAUUUCAUCCCUGGUCAUAUUUUAUUUAUGUAUUAAUUUCACAGAAUAUUAAUAUGAUUCUUCCAAAAGCAUGCUAGUGUAUAUGGGCACAUUCAUUCUGACAGGAUAAUUUUUACUACUGCCUAACAUUAUACUAAAAUAGUGCUUUAUCUAUUUUUAAUUACAGAAUGCUAAUGUUUUGAGAAAACUAUUGAAUUUUAGUUUAGAGGCGGUUGUGCUAGGGAGCAAACGCCCCACCUCCCGUACAAUGCACUCACCAUAUGUAACCUUACAAAUAGAAGUAAUCCACGACUGUAUUAACAAACGAUGCUUUGUGUUAGGGAAGGAAAGGGUUAACAGACGGAUUGAUGUCAUAACCUAUACGGCUCUGUCCUUGUUUGGCAAUAAUGUACCCCAAAUACUAGACUGUUGAACUAACAAUGGCUGUGUUAAAGAAGACUAAAUAAACUAAAAAAUAAAAAGUUUAUAACAAUGUCAGUUUUUUUGGCAGAACGAUUUUAGAACAAGCAAGAAGAAUUGAUUUUUAAACUCUCCCCCAAACAGAGCUGUAACGUUCAUCGUUUCCAUCUUGGUCUCCCCUAUUAACUCUGCUUUCUUUUUCCCCUGAUCUCAUUUAGAAAUCCAAGUCUCAUUCUUCAAGUUUAACUUUCUUGACAUCACUUUGCCAGCCUUGGAGAGCACCUGACUUUAUCACAGCAGCUUGAUAAAUUUGAUAGUUCCAUCUGCAUUUUUAUUGUUUUGUACCAGACCUUAUAAUGCCUUAAAGAGCCCUGCAAACAUGGGUGUAUUGAGUGAAUGUGCAGUUCAUUCACAUGGAACAACCUUUAUCGGCGGUGGCACCAUGGGCUUGGUAGAGGACUUCGUUCACUCCAGGCCCUGAGCUGGCUUAUUUAACCUGUAUGAAGUUGCUGUCGCUUUUUGCAGCCAGAGUUCGGGGAUCCAGAGUUAAUGUACAGUUUAUAUUUUUCUUUCCAAAAAUGCUUAUGCCGUUUGUUCCUAUGAACUAUUUGCAUGCUGGCGAAAAGUCACGCUUAAAGCUUUUUAGAUUUUAGUGACAAACACUUAUUUUGUGUUCCCCAUUUGAAGCAUUAAAAUUCUAAGUAAUAAAACAGCGAAUUAGGUCAGAUAAUUGUUGGAAAACACAUACUAUAGGGAUUAGAGAGAGCAGCAGUGGUGGAAAACGAAGCUGUUUGUUCUGUAUCAUUGUUGAGUUAUUUGCACACUGGUGAGGCUGAAAAGUCCCCAGAUUAGAUAUGUCUUCCUUCUACCCGUUCCUAACUUUAUGUGCCUGGAGCUCAGGAACUAGAUUAGUUUCCCCCCAAAGACGGGUUAUACAUUAAUAAGCACUGAGAUCUGUAUCUCAGGAAUACAAUUCAGGAGUGAAGAAGCAUCUCUUCUACAGACCACAAAUCUCACCAAAAUAUAGCGAAGAUGUCACUUUACUACAAGACCUUGUUUUUCAUGUACACAGACACGCGCAUUUCAACAGGAAUAUUUUCCUCUUUCCACUCAGGAAUCUAGCAUUUGGCUGAAUUUCUUUUUAUGCAUGAAAAUAAAAGCUCCACACUAAGGCCACUUCUGCACAAAAUAAAGAUUUUUCACAUUUAUCGUAUGAUGAAAGCCCCAAAUUUUCUGUUUUUAGCACUGCUCGUGUGUUUCAGUCCACCAUCAGGAGACGAGAGGCUCCUUCCACGGACCAAACCGCUAGUUUCACCGACUUAAGACGUGUGCAAGUUUCCAUAACUGCUGAAUGUCAGAGCAGCGCCCAGCGCAGCCUGGGAUCCUUGCUGCUGCCGAGACAGACCCCUAAUGGCAUCAUCCAACUGUGCUUAAUGAUGAAUCACUUUAUAAGCUCUCAGAUGGCAUCGUAGUGACUUCAUUUAUCGUCCCAUAUAUGGCAUCAGAUGCAGCUGCACUUUAUAAAUGAUUUGGGCGCUUGUCACACCAAGGCCAGGAAAACACAGCCCCCAGUUCCCAGGGAGCCACAGAGAGACGAUUAUUCGGGUCUGCUGAGGCCACCCAGCGGCUCCCGAGCCUCUCGGCAUCACCCCUCGUCAGUAGCUGCGGGGCUCACUGUGGGCCGGGUUUAAACAGGGUGAGCUGUCAGCGAGGUGCUGGAGUCAGCUCGCUCCAAGACGGCACAACAAGCCUGCCUCCGACUCAAGUGAAAGCAGUCAUGUCCUGUGUCAUACUAGAGAAACUGCUCUCUCCUGAGGGACACAUCCUCUCACAGGCUGAGGAAACAAGCAAACACCAGAUCAGCGUGGGGGGCGAUGCUGGGGGCUGGGGAUUGGGUGAACCUGGAGGACAUGGAGACCAAGCCUCUGAGUACGAUUCCUACAGAACCAUCUUCUCAAGGAAAACAGGAGCCAGGUCAAGCGAAUGCUGAUGUCUCCAUCUCUGUGGGCAGGCCAUCAGAGACAACCUUGGGGCCAGCCCUCCCUCGUCAAGAGGUACGCAGGCAGCCACAUCUUCAGAGGCUUUGGCAGUGGUCACAAACCCAAACGCCUGCAGGGCUCACACGGGAGUAAAAUUGUCCAAGAUGGUGGCAGCCGCCGAAGCAAAGUUGUCACGCGUGGACGUGUGGGCACCUUACAGUGCAUCUUCCCGGAGGCAGCGCCUUUUUCUAAUUCCCAGAAAGGGAUGGUACCCUCUGGAUGCCGCCCUGGAUUGUGGUGAACCGACAGCCAUUA